AUUGAACGCUGGCGGCAUGCCUUACACAUGCAAGUCGAACGGUAACGGGCCUUCGGGUGCCGACGAGUGGCGCACGGGUGAGUAAUACAUCGGAACGUGCCCGAUCGUGGGGGAUAACGAGGCGAAAGCUUUGCUAAUACCGCAUACGAUCUACGGAUGAAAGCCGGGGACCGCAAGGCCUUGCGCGGACGGAGCGGCCGCUGGCAGAUUAGGUAGUUGGUGGGAUAAAAGCUUACCAAGCCGACGAUCUGUAGCUGGUCUGAGAGGAUGAUCAGCCACACUGGGACUGAGACACGGCCCAGACUCCUACGGGAGGCAGCAGUGGGGAAUUUUGGACAAUGGGCGCAAGCCUGAUCCAGCCAUGCCGCGUGCAGGAUGAAGGCCUUCGGGUUGUAAACUGCUUUUGUACGGAACGAAAAGCCUUCUUUUAAUACAGGAGGGUCAUGACGGUACCGUAAGAAUAAGCACCGGCUAACUACGUG
rnacentral:rRNA from 1 species